rnacentral:rRNA from 1 species
GAUGAACGCUGGCGGCGUGCCUAAUACAUGCAAGUCGAGCGAAUGGAUUAAGAGCUUGCUCUUAUGAAGUUAGCGGCGGACGGGUGAGUAACACGUGGGUAACCUGCCCAUAAGACUGGGAUAACUCCGGGAAACCGGGGCUAAUACCGGAUAACAUUUUGAACCGCAUGGUUCGAAAUUGAAAGGCGGCUUCGGCUGUCACUUAUGGAUGGACCCGCGUCGCAUUAGCUAGUUGGUGAGGUAACGGCUCACCAAGGCAACGAUGCGUAGCCGAACUGAGAGGGUGAUCGGCCACAACGGGACUGAGACACGGCCCAGACUCCUACGGGAGGCAGCAGUAGGGAAUCUUCCGCAAUGGACGAAAGUCUGACGGAGCAACGCCGCGUGAGUGAUGAAGGCUUUCGGGUCGUAAAACUCUGUUGUUAGGGAAGAACAAGUGCUAGUUGAAUAAGCUGGCACCUUGACGGUACCUAACCAGAAAGCCACGGCUAACUACGUGCCAGCCGCCGCGGUAA